rnacentral:tmRNA from 1 species
UUACAAAAAUUUAAAUGCAAAAACACAUGUAACAGCACCUGAAUAUUGUUUAGCAUAAAAGCUUAACGAUAUGAGGACUUUUAUGGAAACCUCCUCAAAUACCAUAAAGGUUAAUUAAUGAGGAUAGAAACAAACUUUAUCCAAUUGAGGGUUUGGAUCGAAACAAUAUCAAUGGUGCUAGUUAAGAUAUCCCGCCUUUUGGAGAUCUUAAGGAAAGCUAAACAUAAGGCUAAGCAUGUAGUAAUUUUUUGACGACUCCGUAAGGACGCGGGUUCAAUUCCCGCCACCUCCACUU